GAUGAACGCUAGCGGCAGGCCUAAUACAUGCAAGACGAACGGUAAGUUGAGUAGCAAUACUUAGCCAAGAGUGUCGUACGGGUGCGUAACACGUAUGCAACCUACCCUAUACAGGAGGAUAGCCUAGGGAAACCUGGAUUAACCCUUCAUAGUAUUAUUGGAUGGCAUCAUUUGAUAAUUAAAACUGAGGUGGUAUAGGAUGGGCAUGCGUCUGAUUAGUUAGUUGGCGGGGUAAUGGCCCACCAAGACGAUGAUCAGUAGGGGUUCUGAGAGGAAGAUCCCCCACACUGGCACUGAGAUACGGGCCAGACUCCUACGGGAGCAGCAGUAGGGAAUAUUGGUCAAUGGAUGCAAGUCUGAACCAGCCAUGCCGCGUGCAGGAAGAAGGCCCUUCUGGGUUGUAAACUGCUUUUGCCAGGGGAUAAAAUUUCCAUGCGUGGAAAACUGAAGGUACCUGGUGAAUAAGCCACGGCUAACUACGUGCCAGCAGCCGCGGUAAU
rnacentral:rRNA from 1 species